rnacentral:rRNA from 1 species
GUGUGAAGAAGGCCUUCGGGUUGUAAAGCACUUUCAGUCGUGAGGAAGGUAGUGUAGUUAAUAGCUGCAUUAUUUGACGUUAGCGACAGAAGAAGCACCGGCUAACUCCGUGCCAGCAGCCGCGGUAAUACGGAGGGGUGCGAGCGUUAAUCGGAAUUACUGGGCGUAAAGCGCAUGCAGGUGGUUUGUUAAGUCAGAUGUGAAAGCCCGGGGCUCAACCUCGGAAUAGCAUUUGAAACUGGCAGACUAGAGUACUGUAGAGGGGGGUAGAAUUUCAGGUGUAGCGGUGAAAUGCGUAGAGAUCUGAAGGAAUACCGGUGGCGAAGGCGGCCCCCUGGACAGAUACUGACACUCAGAUGCGAAAGCGUGGGGAGCAAACAGGAUUUUUGUUACUGGUUGGUCACGCCGUAAACGAUGUCUACUUGGAGGUUGUGGCCUUGAGCCGUGGCUUUCGGAGCUAACGCGUUAAGUAGACCGCCUGGGGAGUACGGUCGCAAGAUUAAAACUCAAAUGAAUUGACGGGGGCCCGCACAAGCGGUGGAGCAUGUGGUUUAAUUCGAUGCAACGCGAAGAACCUUACCUACUCUUGACAUCC